rnacentral:rRNA from 1 species
AUUGAACGCUGGCGGCAGGCCUAACACAUGCAAGUCGAGCGGAUGACGGGAGCUUGCUCCUUGAUUCAGCGGCGGACGGGUGAGUAAUGCCUAGGAAUCUGCCUGGUAGUGGGGGACAACGUUUCGAAAGGAACGCUAAUACCGCAUACGUCCUACGGGAAAAAGCAGGGGACCUUCGGGCCUUGCGCUAUCAGAUGAGCCUAGGUCGGAUUAGCUAGUUGGUGGGGUAAUGGCUCACCAAGGCGACGAUCCGUAACUGGUCUGAGAGAUGAUCAGUCACACUGGAACUGAGACACGGUCCAGACUCCUACGGGAGGCAGCAGUGGGGAAUAUUGGACAAUGGGCGAAAGCCUGAUCCAGCCAUGCCGCGUGUGUGAAGAAGGUCUUCGGAUUGUAAAGCACUUUAAGUUGGGAGGAAGGGCAGUAAGCUAAUAUCUUGCUGUUUUGACGUUACCGACAGAAUAAGCACCGGCUAACUCUGUGCCAGCCGCCGCCGUAA